ACUCCUACGGGAGGCAGCAGUGGGGAAUAUUGCACAAUGGGGGAAACCCUGAUGCAGCCAUGCCGCGUGUGUGAAGAAGGCCUUGGGUUGUAAAGCACUUUCAGUAGGGAGGAAGGUAGUGUAGUUAACACCUGCAUUAUUUGACGUUACCUACAGAAGAAGCACCGGCUAACUCCGUGCCAGCAGCCGCGGUAAUACGGAGGGUGCGAGCGUUAAUCGGAAUUACUGUGCGUAAAGCGCAUGCAGGCGGCCUGUUAAGUCAGAUGUGAAAGCCCGGGGUCUUAACCUCGGAAUUGCAUUUGAAACUGGCAGGCUAGAGUCUUGUAGAGGGGUUAGAAUUUCGAGGUGUAGCGGUGAAAUGCGUAGAGAUCUGAAGGAAUACCGAGUGGCGAAGGCGGCCCCUGGACAAGACUGACGCUCAGAUGCGAAAGCGUGGGAGCAAACGAGGAUUAGAUACCCCGUGGUAGCGACUGA
rnacentral:rRNA from 1 species